GGACCCAUGAAAUUUGGAUACAGGAGAAACAGCACCUUGUCUUGGAUGCCAUUCAGAGCAUGUAUAUAGCCUCCUGGAGAGCAUUUGCUCCUGUCCUGCAUGGUGUUACCACCUAGAUGACACUGUAACUGAAUCUUCAAAAUUUUUUUUCACUGUUCUAUCAAGCCAGCUGCUUCAGGAUGCUGUAGGUAAAAUGGAUAUGACAAAGGACUUGAUCAGAAGCCCCAAAAAGGCAUCAUGUGCUCAUCAACGUGCACUGUGAGGCUUGGCAGUAUUUCAGCAAAGUCUGCAGAGUAGCACUCCUCCAGCAUGCCUCCUGCCAGUGCAGUGUAUCCCUUGUAUCAAACCCAGAGGGAGAACGCUGCUGGUUUUGGUGAGCUGGAGCCAAGGAAGCUUAAUGUCCUACAAUGUGUGUCAUCAAAAACCUCACACAACAAAGAAUCGUACAUGUUCUCCAUGGCCCUUAUUUUUUAUUAUAAUGGUGGAUACAUGUUGUUAUCCAUUUGUCCAAACUCAUAGCACGUACAACACCAAGAGUGAACUGUAAUGUAAACUAUGAACUUUGGGUGAUUUU